UAGCACUGUAUUUGAACCUAUCAAGCCCCUUCAUGGCUCAAUGGGCCAAGCAACAGUGCAAAAGUAAAGGCUUGUUAUAUAACUGGAGCCUCUUGGAAUUCCUGCCAAGUUGCUCUUUUAAAAGCAAGCUACAAUU